rnacentral:rRNA from 1 species
UGGGGAAUAUUGCACAAUGGGGGAAACCCUGAUGCAGCGACGCCUCGUGAACGAAGAAGGUAUUCGUAUCGUAAAGUUCUGUCCUAUGGGAAGAUAAUGACAGUACCAUAGAAGAAAGCUCCGGCUAAAUACGUGCCAGCAGCCGCGGUAAUACGUAUGGAGCGAGCGUUGUCCGGAAUUAUUGGGCGUAAAGGGUACGCAGGCGGUUUAAUAAGUCGAAUGUUAAAGAUCGGGGCUCAACCCCGCAAAGCAUUGGAAACUGAUAAACUUGAGUAGUGGAGAAGAAAGUGGAAUUCCUAGUGUAGUGGUGAAAUACGUAGAUAUUAGGAGGAAUACCAGGAGCGAAGGCGACUUUCUGGAAACAAACUGACGCUGAGGUACGAAAGCGUGGGGAGCAAACAGG